rnacentral:rRNA from 1 species
UACAGGGGGUGCAAGCGUUAAUCGGAAUUACUGGGCGUAAAGCGUGCGUAGACGGUUGCGUAAGUCAGAUGUGAAAGCCCCGGGCUCAACCUGGGAAUUGCAUUUGAGACUGCGUAGCUAGGGUGCGGAAGAUGGGAAGGCGGGAAAUUUCCGGGUAUGAAUGGCGGGUGGUAAAUGAACUGUAGAGUAAUUUAGGGGUGGAAA